rnacentral:rRNA from 1 species
GUGCAGCAGGCGAGAAACCUCCACAAUUCACGAAAGUGAGAUGGGGUUACCUCGAGUGCCGCCUGAAGAAGGCGGCUUUUCCAUUGUGUAAUGAGCCGUGGGAAUAAGAGGGGGGCAAGACUGGUGUCAGCCGCCGCGGUAACACCAGCCCCUCGAGUGGUGGGGAUGAUUAUUUGGCCUAAAGCGUCCGUAGCCUGCUCUGUAAAUCUUUCGUUAAAUCCAGCGUCCUAAGCGUUGGGCUGCGAGAGAGACUGCAGAGCUAGAGGGUGGGAGAGGUCAGCGGUAUUCCUGGGGUAGGGGCGAAAUCCAUUGAUCCCAGGGGGACCACCAGUGGCGAGGGCUGCUGACUAGAACACGCCUGACGGUGAGGGACGAAAGCUGGGGUAGCGAAUCGGAUUAGAUACCCGCGUAGUCC